CAGCAGCCGCGGUAAUACGUAGGGUGCGAGCGUUCAUCGGAUUUACUGGGCGUAAAGCGUGCGCAGGCGGCCCGUUAAGACAGGUGUGAAAUCCCUGGGCUCAACCUAGGAAUUGCGCUUGUGACUGGCGGGCUCGAGUACGGUAGAGGGGGGUGGAAUUCCUGGUGUAGCAGUGAAAUGCGUAGAGAUCAGGAGGAACACCGAUGGCGAAGGCAGCCCCCUGGGCCUGUACUGACGCUCAUGCACGAAAGCGUGGGGAGCAAACAGGAUUAGAUACCCUGGUAGUCCACGCCCUAAACGAUGGGUACUAGCCGUUUGGUGCGCGAUAGCGCUGAGUGGCGAAGCUAACGCGUGAAGUACCCCGCCUGGGGAGUACGGCCGCAAGGUUGAAACUUAAAGGAAAUGGCGGG
rnacentral:rRNA from 1 species